CAAGGAGAGCAGGAGCUCUCGGAGGAAGAGGAUGUGAAGCCACCAAAGACAUAUGACUCACUGCUUUUGGUGUAAUCCCCAAGCACCAGAAGCUCUACUUUAAACCAUGAGAGUGAGUCUUCUUGGACAUCCAGUCCAACUGAGCCUUCAGAUGUCUGUAGUCCUGACCAACCUUUGAUGACAAUUUCAUAAGAGACUCCAGGUACUUAGGUUAAGACUCCAGCUAAGCUCUUCCCCAAAUUACUGUCAGACAAAAUCACAAGCAAAACAAAAUGAAUGUUGUUUUAUACCAGUAGGUUUUGGGUGGAAUUACUAUAUAGCAAGAGUAACAGAUUUUGUUACCUGGAAGUAGGGUGUUACCAGGACCAGUGAGCCUCAAAAUGGCUGUCAGUGAAGACUUGAGGAAUAGUGAGUGGAAUAUUUUUGGGGGCUAAAAGAUAGAAGAUUUUGGAUUUCCAGUGGUAAAGUUUGGGAAAAAUGUCACCUGCAGAAAAUAGAAAUGUACCUAGUGAACUUAUCUGGCUAAGGGUAUUUUUAGGCUAAAUGUUCAAAGUGAUGUAAUUUCUUUUGGUUGACUGUCAUAAAAUACAAAUAAAGAGAUGUGAGCUAAAGAAGAAAUUAUUCCAUUUGCAAGCAGUAUGUAAAACAAAUAAAAAUGGCCCUUGAUUGCUAGGUUCAAAAAUAAAACUGUUUUUUCUUCCUAGUCUCUUCCCAAAGACUCUAAAAAGUAAGUGCCUCAGGGCAAGAUCAAAUCCAGGGUGCUGUCAGGAAAUAUGGUCUUAGAGUAAAUAUGAAGCAAAAUGUAUGACUGUAAAAAUCCCUUUCUUAAGAUGGAGAGAUUUAGGUGACUAUUCAAGGACCCUUUCAAAAAGCCUUCUACUGAUACUCAGGAUGUGCCUCACAGAAUCUCCAUUUUCAAUUGAACAAUUGGCCUUCUGAGAAUUUUAGAGGAAUAGGUCCACAGCAACCUCACAGGGAACCCAAGGUAGAGAUCUACUCUUAGGUCAACUUUUCAGCUUUUGCAUAGGAACACACUGUUCAAGAUUGAGUAUUUUAAGCAAAAGUCAAGGUAUCAUAUCAUUAUAUAAGCCAAAACCAUCCCAAGUUGCAGGUGAGGUUUUGUUUUUGUUUUUGUUUUGUUCCUUUUUUUUUUUUUAGAGUUUUAUCUUGACAGGCUCUGAAAUAUAACCUUCUCUUUGGAGUGGCAAGAGUGUAUAUGGCCAUCUGCUUUUGCCUGAUCAAAGGCUCCUUCAAAGUUCCAUUUGUUGAGACAAAGUCCCUCAGAUAGAGGACGUCUAGUGCUGAAGUAGGCAUCAGGCAAGCAUUAGAGUCCCCAGGAAGGCUGCUAACCUGUUGACCAUACACUACAUGUAUUCUCACCCAGUUCAGUCUCAGGGAACAGACAGAAGGGUUUUGAGUUUAAAGAGAGCAUGCCAUGUUGCAGUAGUGGCAGGCUUUAGAGGCAGAGAUGUGAAGGAGAUUAAAAGAAAGUUUACAGGCUUGGCAUUAGGUAGCACACAUGAUCUCAGUUCUGCCAGAGCUUCACCUCUGUGAUGAAAUACUUGACAACAUCAGAAAGUGUACUUGAUAAUGUGGAGUGCUGCUGGGACUCGUAAUCCACUUCUCCUCCAUGCACCAACAGCAAGAAGAGUUCUCUGGAGAUGUGUUAAUACUAGAGACUCUUGUGCAAUGAGCCACAUGACAAGGUGCUAUUGAACAGUUUGGAAAAUCAGAUUCAGUUAAAGCAUGUUAUUACAAGAGCAAUAUACAGUAAGGCAUUAUUAGAGAAGCUUUAGAAUUCAUGGGAGAUCUAAAUUAUCCUUGUUAGUAAAACUUUUUUUUCAGGAAGAUCAGAAAUAAGGGUAAGGAUGCUUUCGUUAUGGAACCCAGCCAAAGUGUGGAGUUGAACUAGAAGCCUUAACUGAGACUUGGGGAGUUGCAGUUGAUGCUGCUGGUUUGAUAACUUUCCUAUUAAAUCAACUUCUCUGCAAAUAAUGUUCCAGGGAGUGGUUUCCAACCUCCAGCUCUGGUCUGAAACCCACUGAAAGUAGAAGCCCUGGUGAGAGAUCUUGUCCAUUACUUAAAUUCAGUGUGUGAGGUCUGAUCUCAGAGAGCAGCUGGGGCCAUUCAAGUACAAACCACCUUUAAUUAGGGAGCUGCUUAUUUAUAUUGUACAUAUACAAUGCAUUGCAAAGUAUCUCCCUCCCCACUUUUAAACCAAUGAUUGAUUAUUGUAGGAUGUGUUCCUUAAUGUGGGACAUCUCUGUAGGAUCAUCUCAUCCUCGAGAGAUAUUUGUGGCCUUGCCUGAGCCUACUGUUUCAAACUGUAUCUCAUUUCAACUUCUUCUUCUGCUUGAUCUGCUUCCCUUGCUCCUGCACAGAUACUGAUUUUAGGAGCAUUUCCAAUAAACCUCCUGUACGCAAAUCCUGAAGGAACUUUACCUGUGAUAGUGGGGUACCUUUAUAAACCAAAACUGCUAGAAAGGGCAGAUCCUGAAGCCUUCUUUAUUCUGAUGACCUCCUUAAGGGGUUUUGUGUAAAUAACACUGAGUGUAGGAGAUACUUAAAUUCCAUAUAAAAA